CCUAACACAUGCAAGUUUCGAACGGUAACAUUUCUAGCUUGCUAGAAGAUGACGAGUGGCGGACGGGUGAGUAAUGCUUGGGAACUUGCCUUUGCGAGGGGGAUAACAGUUGGAAACGACUGCUAAUACCGCAUAAUGUCUUCGGACCAAACGGGGCUUCGGCUCCGGCGCAAAGAGAGGCCCAAGUGAGAUUAGCUAGUUGGUAAGGUAACGGCUUACCAAGGCGACGAUCUCUAGCUGUUCUGAGAGGAAGAUCAGCCACACUGGGACUGAGACACGGCCCAGACUCCUACGGGAGGCAGCAGUGGGGAAUAUUGCACAAUGGGGGAAACCCUGAUGCAGCCAUGCCGCGUGUGUGAAGAAGGCCUUCGGGUUGUAAAGCACUUUCAGUUGUGAGGAAAAGUUAGUAGUUAAUACCUGCUAGCCGUGACGUUAACAACAGAAGAAGCACCGGCUAACUCCGCGCCAGCAGCCGCGGUAAUACGGAGGGUGCGAGCGUUAAUCGGAAUUACUGGGCGUAAAGCGCACGCAGGCGGUUUGUUAAGCUA
rnacentral:rRNA from 1 species